rnacentral:rRNA from 1 species
AGUCACCCAGGUUGCCGCAAGGCCUCCUGGGUAACCUACCACCCUUUGUUCAUUACACUUUGUUGCUUUGGCAAGCCUGCCCUCGGGCUGCUGGCUCCGGCCGGCGAGCGCUUGCCAGAGGACCUAAACUCUGUUUGUCUAUACUGUCUGAGUACUAUAUAAUAGUUAAAACUUUCAACAACGGAUCUCUUGGUUCUGGCAUCGAUGAAGAACGCAGCGAAAUGCGAUAAGUAAUGUGAAUUGCAGAAUUCAGUGAAUCAUCGAAUCUUUGAACGCACAUUGCGCCCCCUGGUAUUCCGGGGGGCAUGCCUGUCCGAGCGUCAUUACAACCCUCAAGCUCAGCUUGGUAUUGGGCCCCGCCGACCCGGCGGGCCCUAAAGUCAGUGGCGGUGCCGUCCGGCUCCGAGCGUAGUAAUUCUUCUCGCUCUGGAGGUCCGGUCGUGUGCUCGCCAGCAACCCCCAAUUUUUUUCAGGUUGACCUCGGAUCAGGUAGGGAUACCCGCUGAACUUAAGCAUAUCAAUAAGCGGAGGAA